AACGUAGGAGACAAACGUUAUCCGGAGUUACUGGGCGUAAAGGGCGUGUAGGCGGUCUGUUAAGUCUGGCGUGAAAGCCUCUCGGCUAAACCGGGAGAGGUCGUUGGAUACUGGCAGACUAGAGGACGGUAGAGGCGUGUGGAAUCCGGGUGUAGUGGUGAAAUGCGUAGAGAUCCGGAGGAACACCAGUGGCGAAGGCGACACGCUGGGCCGUACCUGACGCUAAAGCGCCGACAG
rnacentral:rRNA from 1 species